rnacentral:rRNA from 1 species
GGUGGAUUAGUGGCGAACGGGUGAGUAACACGUGAGUAACCUGCCCUUAACUCUGGGAUAAGCCUGGGAAACUGGGUCUAAUACCGGAUAGGAGCGCCUACCGCAUGGUGGGUGUUGGAAAGAUUUAUCGGUUUUGGAUGGACUCGCGGCCUAUCAGCUUGUUGGUGAGGUAAUGGCUCACCAAGGCGACGACGGGUAGCCGGCCUGAGAGGGUGACCGGCCACACUGGGACUGAGACACGGCCCAGACUCCUACGGGAGGCAGCAGUGGGGAAUAUUGCACAAUGGGCGCAAGCCUGAUGCAGCGACGCCGCGUGAGGGAUGACGGCCUUCGGGUUGUAAACCUCUUUCAGUAGGGAAGAAGCGAAAGUGACGGUACCUGCAGAAGAAGCACCGGCUAACUACGUGCCAGCAGCCGCGGUAAUACGUAGGGUGCGAGCGUUAUCCGGAAUUAUUGGGCGUAAAGAGCUCGUAGGCGGUUUGUCGCGUCUGUCGUGAAAGUCCGGGGCUUAACCCCGGAUCUGCGGUGGGUACGGGCAGACUAGAGUGCAGUAGGGGAGACUGGAAUUCCUGGUGUAGCGGUGGAAUG